CACGGGGGGAACGAGCGUUGUUCGGAUUUACUGGGCGUAAAGGGUGCGUAGGCGGGCCGGUCAGUCGGGUGUGAAAGCUCAUGGCUUAACCAUGAAUCUGCAUCCGAAACUGCCGGUCUUGAGUACGGGAGAGGAAAGUGGAAUUCCAGGUGUAGCGGUGAAAUGCGUAGAUAUCUGGAGGAACACCGGUGGCGAAGGCGGCUUUCUGGACCGAUACUGACGCUGAGGCACGAAGGCCGGGGGAGCAAACAGG
rnacentral:rRNA from 1 species